rnacentral:lncRNA from 1 species
GCUGGCAGCCUGUGUGACAAGAGUCGGGCCCCUCGGCUGAGGCGGCGGCUCUUCCACCGGCUGUGCGCGAGCGAGCGGGCGAGCCGGCGAGCCGGCGAGCGCGGGCCGAUCCGUUUUCUUCCAAAAGGAAAAUAAUUUACGCCCGUUGGGUUGUGGUCUUAAGUCCUCUUCGGGAGUUGGAGGAUCGAAGUGUUUACGUGGUUGAGAACAGGAAAAUGCUUUAAAAAAAUCCAAACAUUUAAUAUAUCAACAAGAUUUCUGAGAGGACGUAUUCCUGAGACAUAGAAAUGGACUCAGUGACGUUUGAGGAUGUGGCUGUGUACUUUACCAAAGAAGAGUGGACUUUACUGGAUGGAUUUCAGAGAAGCCUCUACAGAGAGGUGAUGCUGGAGAACUAUCAGAACCUGGCCUCAGCAGGUGAGACUGCCAUUAUCUCCUGUAGGGUCUGAAGGAAGAACCAUGUAUUAUUCAAGAUUGAUGAUGUAAUUGGGAAUAUAAUGGGGAACGAUAGAGACACUGUCAUUGCCAUAGCAUAUUUUAAUCUGCUAUUGGCAGUUGUCAACAAAUGCUUUUAGGAUUAGUAAGUGACAUCACACUCAUUUCCUUAGAAUGUACAACUUUAUACUGUCUUUGAUAUACUGAAUCAGAAAAGUCAUCAUUUGUGUUCCUAUCAUCUGUUUUCACUGUUUUUCCACGUGAAUGUUUCACUCAAAAGGUAACAACUAGCUGAGCACGAUAGUACAAACUUAUAAUUCCAGCAUGCAGGAAGUUGAGGCAGGAGAAUUGCUACACACUCAAGGCCAGCCUGAGCUAUAUAGCAAGUACAAGGCCAGUCAUGGCUGCAGAGGAAUAAAAU